GGCAGUGUAGCCAAGUGGUUACGGCGUCACGUUUAGGUUUACAAUCCGUGAUGGGUUUCCCGCGCGAGUUCGAAUCUCGUCACUGUCA